UUUUUUUGUUUUUUUUUUUUUCCUUUUCUUUUUUUUUUUUCGGAGCUGGGGACCGAACCCAGGGCCUUGCGCUUGCUAGGCAAGCGCUCUACCACUGAGCUAAAUCCCCAACCCUUACUAUUGUUUUUUGCAGAAUGGAGCCUGCUCAAACAGUACCUACAGAUCAUUUUGAUGUUCAAGUUGUUCCCUGUUGGCUCAACAGGGCCCUAAAACUGUUUUUUUUUUGUUCUUGAAACAUGCCCUAUCAUUGGGUACUUGCUUACGUUCUUGGACAGUGCCCCAGCUCUGAGAUGGGCUAUGUUGGAUCUGCCUCCUCAGAGGAAGCAAAAUUGAGAUACCAAGAUAUAGCCCAAAGAACUGUCUCAAGUAGGCCAGUGGUCAGUUUAUGCAAAGUCAUCAUUUCCUUUUAUUUUUCUAGGACUUUUUUUUGUUUGUUUGGCGUGUGUGUAUGUGUGUGUGUGUGUGUGUGUGUGUGUGUAGCCAUGGCUGUCCCAGAAUUAGCUCAGUAGAUGAGGCUGGCCUUGGAUCCAUCUGCCUCCGAGUGCUGGUAUUAAAAGUUUGAGUCACCGGGGUUGGGGAUUUAGCUCAGUGGUAGAGCGCUUGCCUAGCAACCGCAAGGCCCUGGGUUCAGUCCCCAGCUCCGAAAAAAAGAAAAAAAAAAGU
rnacentral:lncRNA from 1 species